UGGGUGAGUAACACGUACUCAACGUACCUUUUAGUUUGGGAUAGCGAACGGAAACGUUCGAUAAUACCAAAUACUUAUUAUUUUCGCAUGAAAUAAUAUAAAAGAAGCGUUUGCUUCGCUGAAAGAUCGGGGUGCGCAACAUUAGCUAGUUGGUGAGGUAACGGCCCACCAAGGCGAUGAUGUUUAGCGGGGUUGAGAGACUGAACCGCCACACUGGGACUGAGAUACGGCCCAGACUCCUACGGGAGGCAGCAGUAGGGAAUAUUCCACAAUGAGCGAAAGCUUGAUGGAGCGACACAGCGUGCAGGAUGAAGGUCCUAUGGAUUGUAAACUGCUGUGGUAAGGGAAGAAAAAGUAGUGUAGGAAAUGACAUUACCUUGACGGUACCUUAUUAGAAAGCAACGGCUAACUAUGUGCCAGCAGCCGCGGUAAUACAUAGGUUGCAAGCGUUAUCCGGAAUUAUUGGGCGUAAAGCGUCUGUAGGUUGUUUGUUAAGUCUGGCGUCAAAUUUUGGGGCUCAACCCCAAACCGCGUUGGAUACUGGCAGACUAGAGUUGUGUAGAGGUUAGCGGAAUUCCUUGUGAAGCGGUGAAAUGCGUAGAUAUAAGGAAGAACACCAAUAUGGCGAAGGCAGCUAACUGGGCAUAUACUGACACUGAGAGACGAAAGCGUGGGGAGCAAACAGGAUUAGAUACCCUGGUAGUCCACGCCCUAAACGAUGAUCAUUAGUUGAUGGAAGAAUUCAUCGACGCAGCUAACGCAUUAAAUGAUCCGCCUGAGUAGUACGUUCGCAAGAAUAAAACUUAAAGGAAUUGACGGGGAUCCGCACAAGCGGUGGAGCAUGGUGGUUUAAUUUGAAGAUACGCGUAGACCCUUACCCACUCUUGACAUCUUCUGCAAGGCUAUAGAGAUAUAGGUGGAGGGUUAACAGAGUGACGA
rnacentral:rRNA from 1 species